AUACAAAAAUUAGCCACGCGUGGUGGCAUGCCUGUAAUCACAGCUACUAGGGAGGCUGAGGGCAGGAGAAUCGCUUGAACCUGGGAGACAGAGGUUGCGGUGAGCCAAGAUCGCGCCACUGUACUCCAGCCUGGGCGACAGAGCGAGACUCUGUCUCACAAAAAAAGACUGCCAUGUUGCCAUGCUGUGAUGCAGCAAGAAAGUCCUCACCAGAUGCAGCCCCUUGAUCUUGGACUUCCCAGCCUCCAAAACUGUUUUCAAACAGUUCCUCAUACUCUAAAGUGUAGUCUGCCUCCAGGAUGACAUCGCUCUGGACCACAAUGCUACCAUUGCUGGAAGUGGGAAUCGUUUCAUCGGUUACCCAUGUCACCACCCAGCCAGCAAGCGGAGCCCAAGCACCCAGAGUGGUAAUGGGAGAUGAAGCUGCCAUGUGACCCAGAGGUGAGAAAGAAUACAGAGUCUUCCCUCCAGCAGCUAACCAUCCAGACAUAGGGAGGAGAGCAAAACGAUUCAAGAUCUCAAAUAUCAGUGAUCACAAUAAAUGCCAAUGAGUGAAAUUCAUCUCUCACAAACUAGAGGCUCUUGGAUGAAUAGGUAGAGAAAUUUGUAUCCCUGUGUCCUGUUGAUGUGAAAGUAAAAUAGUGCAGCUGCUAUGGAAAACAGUAUGGAGCUCUUCAAAAAAUUUAAAAUAAAAUUAAUGCAUGAUCCAGCAAUUCUACUUCUGGGUAGAUACACAAAAUAACUGAAAGCAGGUCUUGAAUUUAUAUUUGUACCCUUGUGUUUUUAGUAGCAUUAUUUACCAUAGCCAAAAGGUGGAAGCAAAUCAAGGGUCCAUCAACAGAC